AAUAGAUACCCCGGUAGUCCACGCCGUAAACGAUGAGUGCUAAGUGUUAGGGGGUUUCCGCCCCUUAGUGCUGCAGCUAACGCAUUAAGCACUCCGCCUGGGGAGUACGGUCGCAAGACUGAAACUCAAAGGAAUUGACGGGGGCCCGCACAAGCGGUGGAGCAUGUGGUUUAAUUCGAAGCAACGCGAAGAACCUUACCAGGUCUUGACAUCCCAUUGACCGCUAUGGAGACAUGGCUUUCCCUUCGGGGACAGUGGUGACAGGUGGUGCAUGGUUGUCGUCAGCUCGUGUCGUGAGAUGUUGGGUUAAGUCCCGCAACGAGCGCAACCCUUGUUCUUAGUUGCCAUCAUUUAGUUGGGCACUCUAAGGAGACUGCCGGUGACAAACCGGAGGAAGGUAGGGAUGACGUCAAAUCAUCAUGCCCCUUAUGACCUGGGCUACACACGUGCUACAAUGGACGGUACAAACGGUUGCCAACCCGCGAGGGGGAGCUAAUCCGAUAAAACCGUUCUCAGUUCGGAUUGUAGGCUGCAACUCGCCUAC
rnacentral:rRNA from 1 species